rnacentral:rRNA from 1 species
GACGAACGCUGGCGGCGUGCCUAAUACAUGCCAGUCGAGCGGACGAAUCGAAAGCUUGCUUUUGAUUCGUUAGCGGCGGACGGGUGAGUAACACGUGGGCAACCUGCCCUGUAGACGGGGAUAACACCGAGAAAUCGGUGCUAAUACCGGAUAACACGAAAUGUCGCAUGACGUUUCGUUGAAGGACGGCGCAAGCUGUCGCUACAGGAUGGGCCCGCGGCGCAUUAGCUAGUUGGUGAGGUAACGGCUCACCAAGGCGACGAUGCGUAGCCGACCUGAGAGGGUGAUCGGCCACACUGGGACUGAGACACGGCCCAGACUCCUACGGGAGGCAGCAGUAGGGAAUCUUCCGCAAUGGACGAAAGUCUGACGGAGCAACGCCGCGUGAGCGAAGAAGGCCUUCGGGUCGUAAAGCUCUGUUGUUAGGGAAGAACAAGUAACGCAGUAACUGGCGUUACCGUGACGGUACCUAACGAGAAAGCCACGGCUAACUACGUG